GACGAACGCUGGCGGCGCGCUUAACACAUGCAAGUCGAGCGAAGCGGCGGACUGGUGAGUAACACGUGAGUAACCUGCCUUAGACCUUGGGAUAGCCUCGGGUAACCGGGCUUAAUACCAAAUGGGCUAGGAUGGACUCGAGUCCCAUUAGCUAGUUGGUGUGGUAACGGCCCCCCAAGGCGACGAUGGGUAGCCGGCAUGAGAGUGUGGACGGCCACAUUGGAACUGAGAAACGGUCCAAACUCUACGGAAGGCAGCAGUGGGGAAUAUAGCACAAUGGAGGGAACUCUGAUGCAGCGACGGCGGGUGAACGAAGAAGGCUGUGGAGACGUAAAGUUCUUUUAUAUGGGAAGCGGUACCAGAAGAAAAAGCCCCGGCUAACUACGUGCCAGCAGCCGCGGUAAUAC
rnacentral:rRNA from 1 species